GAGUUUGAUCUUGGCUCAGAACGAACGCUGGCGGCAGGCCUCAAACAUGCAAGUCUAGGGGGUGUAGCAAUACAUCACCGGCGGACGGGUGCGUAACGCGUGGGAAUAUACCUAUUGGUUCGGAACAACUGCGGGAAACUGCAGCUAAUACCGAAUGUGCCCUUACGGGGAAAGAUUUAUCGCCAAUGGAUUAGCCCGCGUAGGAUUAGCUAGUUGGUGGGGUAAAGGCUCACCAAGGCUCCGAUCCUUAGCUGUUCUGAGAGGAAGAUCAGCCACACUGGGACUGAGACACGGCCCAGACUCCUACGGGAGGCAGCAGUUGGGAAUCUUGGACAAUGGGGGAAACCCUGAUCCAGCCAUGCCGCGUGAGUGAUGAAGGCCUU
rnacentral:rRNA from 1 species